rnacentral:rRNA from 1 species
AAUGUAUAGCAAUAGCUACUUGCAUCAUUGUAAAUAUGAUGCAAGAUCGACUAUGUCGAAUAAAAUUCUAGGUAGAAUUAUGAUAAUGACAUUGUCUGCCUAUGUGUCUUGACCAAAUUACGUGCCAGCAGUCGCGGUAAUACGUAGAAGACUAGUGUUAUUCAUGUUUAAUCGGUUUAAAGGGUACCUAGACGGUAAAUCAAGCCUAAAAGGAAAUAAAUGAAGGGACUAAUUUACUAGAGUUACUUAUGAGGGGGUAUUAAAGUACUGCUGGUGUAGAGAUGAAAUUCUGUCAUACCUCUUUUCAAUAGAAAAAUAAUGGCACAGGUAUAGGCGAAAGCAUCCCCUUAUGUGAUAACUGACGUUGAGGGACGAAGGCUUUGUGUAGCAAACAGGAUUAGAUACCCCAGUAGUCAAAGCAGAAAAUGAUGAAUGUCAUAGAUUAGAUAUAUAAGUUUAUUCUAUAAAUGAAAGUGUAAGCAUUCCACCUCAAGAGUAAUUUGGCAACAUUGGAACUGAAAUCAUUAGACCGUUUCUGAAACCAGUAGUGAAGUAUGUUGUUUAAUUUGAUGAUCCGCAAAAAACCUUACCACAAUUUGAAUAUUUAUAUCUUUUAUUGUUUUUCUUUUUAACUUUUUCUAAUUUUCUACUUAAAAGAAAAAAAUAACAAGAAAAAAGAGACAAUAAGAUAUAUUUACAAGCGUUGCACGGCUGUCUUCAGUUAAUGUCGCGAGACUAUGGUUAGUUCCAUUAAAUUAACGUAAACCCUUACUUUAUUUUUAUAUAGAGUAGUUCCCCGCUAUAUUGGAUAUGAUAACAGG